rnacentral:rRNA from 1 species
UACGUAGGGUGCAAGCGUUAAUCGGAAUUACUGGGCGUAAAGCGUGCGCAGGCGGUUAUGUAAGACAGGUGUGAAAUCCCCGGGCUUAACCUGGGAACUGCAUUUGUGACUGCAUAGCUAGAGUACGGUAGAGGGGGAUGGAAUUCCGCGUGUAGCAGUGAAAUGCGUAGAUAUGCGGGAGGAACACCAGUGGCGAAGGCGACUACCUGGCCUGUUCUUGACGCUGAGGCGCGAAAGCUAGGGGAGCAAACGGG